UGUUUUUAGUUUCAGACAGGCCAGAAUAACACAAGUCAAGUAUUAAAACAUGAGGGUGGUUUGUGACUUUGUUCAUCGUAGACAAGUAGCUAGUACAAAAGUUGUUUCAAGUUUUUAAUAGAGGCAGAUCUUAGCAUAAAAACAUGUCAUUGGCAGCAGAGUACUGGAACGAAAGAUGGCCAAAGGAGGUUUUGGCUCUGGGAAUGACCAGUGAGAUAUACCUGCUGGAGCGCUUGCUACUGGUCGCUAGGCCACGAAACCCCAAAUGAAGCAAGCUAUGCAGUUUUCCCAAAUCGCUAACAAGAUCAGAGAAGCCCACAGAAAACUGAUGAUUCUAAAUCACCCCGACAGACGGUUGAGGAACGAGUAAAACGCUUUCCAAACAAUGAUGUACUUUUAUAUAGUUAUUCAGCUUGUACAAUGUAAUUUGGAUCACAAUUGCAUAUUUUUUUGCAGGUGGUGGAUCACUAAAUCAAUAGUUCACUUUGUACUUGGUUGGGCCCAGGGGUUUUCUUAUUCACCAAAUAAAUCAUACAUUAAAAGAGA